AUGACGCCUUUCCCUCUCCUGGCCGUCCUCCUCCUCAUCUGCCUCGGGGCCCCGCGCGCCGCCGCCGCCGGCAACCCGCCGGACCAGCCCGCGACCCCGACCCCGACCCCGUGGCCGCACCAGUUCCACGCGAAGCUCCUGAUGGACAACAAGGGCAACCUGUCGCUGGCCGACCUGUGGUACGACUGGCCGGGAGGCCGGAACCUGCACGUGAUCCGCUACCAGCUGGCCGCCGACGCGCCCUACUACGACGCCGAGUGGAACAACGGCACCUCCUUCUUCUACACGCCGGCGCGCCGCGCCUGCCGCUCCGCCGCCGUCGGCGUCGGCAUCCUGCGCCCCGACUGGCUCGCCCCCGGCGCCGCCUACCUCGGCCGCGCCCAAGCCGACGGCUUCGACUGCCACGUCUGGGCCAAGGCCGACUUCAUCACCUACUACGAGGAUGCCCAGACCAGGCGCCCCGUCAAAUGGAUCUUCUACACAGGGCGGACGGCGCAUGUGAUGAGCUUCGAGCCGGGGGCGGUGCUGGAGGACGCGACGGAAUGGCAGGCGCCCGACUACUGCUUCGCCGCCGGGAACGACCUCGCCUCCGAGCUUGAUGAUGGGCGCGACGAUGCGGGCUUGGUCCCCAGGAUCAGAAUGCCGUUCGAAGGCUAG
rnacentral:rRNA from 1 species